UACAUUAUCAAAAUCAAUUUAUUUUAGCAACUUGAAACUUGUUGAAAAGCAUACUUUAUGGAUUAAAAACAGAGGAGGUUGUAUUUUUGAAGUGUAAAAACAGUCUGGGAUUUCAUUCACCUGGCGUUCGGGUGUGCUUGGGGAUUUCUCUGUCAUUUCUUGAACGCUGAGAGAGCGGAGCUGAAUCGAUUUCAUGUUUUUCAGACAGACUUUGUGCUUGUGUCACAAUACAGAAAGCUUGUGCAUCUUCAUACUGUGUUAGUGCAGAUGUCCCAUGCUGGAGGACAGCCACCCUGCGCUGCCACGGAGAGGUUCAGGGCUCCACAGCAUGGUAGCAGUGCUGCUUGCCUCCUGUCAGGAGGGGACGGUGUUGCAGGUAGGUUGGUUGCACCAGUGCUGCCUGAAUUUUCCUUUUGAAGUGUCCUCCUUUUAUAUUAAUCUGCUGUUUGUUUUUCUGUAGGAACUCAUGACACUAAGCAUUCCUAAAAUGCAUAGAGAAGUGGUUUAAUGGAAGUUUAAGCAACGCUUUUGUUUCUGUGAUGGCAGAGCAGCUGUAACAGAACUUAGGAGGAAUUUGGUGAUGACUGUGGAGAAUGACGAUGCCUGAGAUAGUACAGUUGUCCUUAAAGAAGACUGACCAGGAGAUCCGCAGUGCAGGUCUGAUUUGUGUCAGUAAGUGAAAAUGAUACCACAAGGGACAGUUGGAAGGAUCUUUUAAAAAAAAAAACACAAAGCUACAGGGGUUUUCUUAAUAGAGGUAAUGUGAAAAAGUUCAGCUUCUGGAUUUAUUCCUUGGAUACCAAGUCAAGAUGGUUGUCUCAAGAAGAUGUCAGGAGAUCUCAACAGCGGUCAGGUACUUUCAGAAGACUGUUCUUGUUUCCACAGGGAUGUUUUUUUGUUUGCUCUAGGUGCUGAGAAUGCUGAUUUGCUCCCUUAGGAGCACUGCAUUUUGAGCAUUCUGAAUUUCUGAACUUUGCAAGACUUCUUUACAGGCUAAAAUUGGGAGCUGCGGUUACCUGGUGCAUCCCUAAGUUCUUGUAAUAACCGAAUCAGUUAUUAAGGCAGGAAAUUCCUGCUUCAGGAACACAGUGAGGAAUUAAAAUUACUGAUGCUUCGUUUACUUCUUAAAUUGUUAUUUGAAAGUUCCGUGGUUCUUUCACUUCCUAUUGGCACAUCUCAUCUAUCUUUAGUUCGGCUGAAAACUGCAGCUAAGUGGGAUGCUGAUUAAGUGGAGAGCCAAUUCCCAAAGCAAGGAAGCAGAAGCAUGUGCAGCUCGUUGCAAUUGUGUUGUUUACAAAUUCGUGCUCGGGUCUGUAAAUUUUGCAGUAUGUGCUGAAUUAAAUAUUCUCUUAUUUUAUUCCAUUAAAUAUUCUACUUCACAAGAAAAAGUUCUGUAUCUGCAACAAACUUUACAGGAGAUCAUCCAAAAUAGCUUCUAUAGAAAACAAAUGGUAACUGCCCAUUGUUUGGAGCCCAUGAGGAAUAUCAGUUAAACAGAGGGGCUUCUCGUUUCCAGGACAGUGGGUCUGCCUUUGGCUUUGGGUUUCAGGUGUAGGGUUGCUGAUGUGAGUGCUGAGCUGUGAAUUAUUUGUUGACCCAUUCAUUUACCUCUGUCGUGGCUUAUUACUGUUGGCUUAGCAGAUGGAUGGAUCCACUCAGUAUUUCCAUCAGAUGCUUUUCUCUUUGCAGGCUGAGCCGUCCCCAGUGCAUCUUAAUCAAUUCAUCAACAACAGCUGCUCUUCUUGACAAACAGUCUAAUGAAUACUGAAAUAAGAAUCUUAUUUGUAAGAAAUACCAUCUCUGUCACUACUGAGGAGGCGAGGGGGGACUGUGAAAAUGAAAUAAGACUCUCAGUUUUGAAAUUCUGCUGUAAUAAAUAUGAGCAAUGGCUCAGUAAUUUAUGGGUUUAUAUUACUGAUGUUCCAGCAGAGGUGGGGCCCCAUUGUUCUAUGGAAGUUUUAUGCAUACAACUUUUUGCUCUUCUGUAAAGGUUAG
ensembl:lncRNA